UGAGCUUUGCUUGAUCUUUUCAUGAAGAUUUGGGAAGCUCAAUCCACUGACCCAGAAAAUACCAAAAACCUUAGUAAGUUUACUUCUGACAAAUUUCCUAAUUCCAAGCUCAUAGAUGAUGGAUUGUGCAGAUUUUGAUAUUGUAUUUGGGUCCCACCGUUAUUAGGACGGAUGUUUUCAAUGCUGCCCAUGUCUUCAAAUUAUCCAUCCACUCCAAAAGUACCAAGAUAUACUGGGAC
rnacentral:lncRNA from 1 species